GAGCAGGGAGAGCUCAGCUGCAGUGUGCACGGCCCAAAGAAGUGACUGCCCAACACUCGCAACGUUUCAUAUUUCUCCUCUGCGCCUCGGUUGUACCGUUUGAAAGGCCGAGGCUCGACUCUGAGCUUGCCAUCUUUCUGUCCAUAGAGUCCUGCUUCUGGGCCUGCUGACAGUCGGCUAUUGAUGGUGGGACCAGCAGAGGAACUGAAAGACAGAAGCAGCAGCCUUGGGACCAGUGAGAGCUCGGCGGGAAGAGGUCGAUAAGUAAGACGCUCGCAUUCCUCAUAGUGGUACAAGGUUGGAGUGAUAGCUCCUUCUGUUGAUGACUGAACCUCCAGUACUUCAGAUGGACCAACAGUUGGGGACAAUGACCUGCUUUUCUCAGGCAUAAGGUUUACGAAGGAAGAGGGAGAUGGAGGGAGAGGACGUCUUGGAGCCAGCGAUCCACCUGCAGUAGCUUACGACUCUGACUGCACAGCAGGAGGAGACAGUGAUGGUGCUGAACCUCACACCUAACAUUCAGAUUGAAAACAAAACAGGUAGAGAACAAGUUAGAAGACAAAUUGAACUGUCAAAGAUAAGGAGGCCCAAGUAAGAUAGUGUUAUUAAUGGAUAAUUGUAAUCCUUCUCUGACUGUAUCAUUUCUUAUAACUUCAGCUAAGAUUUUUAAAAUCAAAAUCACUUAAUUUAUAAUGGAAAACCAAGGAAAUGGCAACAGAUUAGAAAGAUUUUAACAUUCUCUUUCUUCAAUGAUGGUAAAAAGGAUUGAAACAGUGACUAAGCACUGAUUCUCAAAGUUCAGAUUUUGAUCUUGGUCCCCAACGCUUUUAUUGCAACAAGACUCGUCAUUAGUUAUUACGGCACUACAUUAAUGCAUAUUAAAAUUCAUUAAUAAGUACUCUGUUUAGGAAAAAGGAGAACAACAUUUUCUUUAAGUUAGAUCCACACCUAGUGCACUUUGAUUUGCAAGGUCGCCAAUAAUCCUCAGUUUUGAUAUCUUUGAAUUUUCCAAGAAAAACUAUGUGAAAAAAAAAUUGCCAAUAUCUCUUCAAUACCAAAUACACUUUUAUGCAUUAACCGCAGGAUCACACACUUUUUAUGCAUCUCACUGAAGGCAGAUAGGGCAUUUUUACACUCAGUUUACUCUAUACAAAAGUAAUUUGUGUCUAAGUUGUUUCAAUAUUCAUUUAUUUCUUAUUCUUGUGAGUCAAAAACCACAUUAAUUGAGUUGAUACUUUUUAACAUCUGACAUGUCAUGUUUGAUUCUGACAUUAAUUCUUUAGGAAAGUCUAUGAUUUCUUAGAAGACCUGCUGUAUCUUCUCUUAUGCUUUUCCUCUGGUGGAAGAAGGCCACACACACAUCCUCAGAGAAAAGUUUUAAUGGACUAAAAACUAAUUUGCUGGACAUGGUAACAGGAAACAAAAUGCAAAACUCAUUAUUAUGUCUAGAAAUCAUUACAUUAAAUGCCCUGCAGAAACCUCUAGUGAAAAUCUCUCUCUCAGUUGUGAUACUUGACGUAUGUGGAUAUUUUUUGUGGGUCAGAGCAUCUUUUAGAGAAUUUCUGCCAUAUGUCUUUUUUUUUAAAAGCAUACAGUCGAUACCCUGUUGGUUGAGAAAAGACGAUAAAUUUAUGUACAUAAACAUGGUAAUACUUAGGAUAAAAAUAUAACAGAAAUUCAGAUGAUGAUUAUUUAUUGUGCUAAAAUCAUCCAUUAAACAGUUUUGUCAUUAUGUUUUUAUUGAAGUAUUGUUCCCUGUAUUAGACUUUCAAUUGGCUGGCUUGGAUUCCUGUAAAAUUAGCCCUCAUUAAGCUUUUGUGUAACAAAAAAAGAGAAGGUUAUCGUCGCAAUGAAGUAACUGUAUGCAUAAAGUCGUAUUUCUUUUGCUUUGUGAGCUAAAGAGUGAUGAGAGAUUUGCUCAUUGAUGUUUUUCUAAACCUUUAAUCUUACCCAGAAACCUGAUUUGGACCUUUGAACAGGAAGUUUGACAACCUUUGGUGUUAUGUAAAAAAGUUCUAUCAAACAGUUAACGUUGUUCCCAAAUUAAGUUUUUGAAUGCAUGCAAAAGUGCAAAACCUAUUUUCAGGUACAAAGAUUGUCCUGCAAUUUAGAGUAAUAAAAUUGUGCGAUGAAAUGGUUAA